rnacentral:rRNA from 1 species
UACGUAGGGUGCAAGCGUUGUCCGGAAUUAUUGGGCGUAAAGAGCUCGUAGGCGGUUUGUUGCGUCUGCUGUGAAAAUCCAGGGCUUAACCCUGGACCUGCAGUGGGUACGGGCAGACUGGAGUGCGGUAGGGGAGAUCGGAAUUCCUGGUGUAGCGGUGAAAUGCGCAGAUAUCAGGAGGAACACCGGUGGCGAAGGCGGAUCUCUGGGCCGUAACUGACGCUGAGGAGCGAAAGCAUGGGGAGCGAACAGG